rnacentral:rRNA from 1 species
UACGAAGGGGGCUAGCGUUGCUCGGAAUUACUGGGCGUAAAGCGCACGUAGGCGGCUUUCUAAGUCGGGGGUGAAAUCCUGGAGCUCAACUCCAGAACUGCCUUCGAUACUGGAGCUUGAGUCCGGGAGAGGUGAGUGGAACUGCGAGUGUAGAGGUGAAAUUCGUAGAUAUUCGCAAGAACACCAGUGGCGAAGGCGGCUCACUGGCCCGGUACUGACGCUGAGGUGCGAAAGCGUGGGGAGCAAACAGGGAU